rnacentral:siRNA from 1 species
AGUGCAUCGGAGUUUGAAUAUA